AUUCUGUUAUGAAAGAGCGCAUCUCGAAACAACUGAAGUUUAAAAACAACAACAACAACAAAUUUGCUCAUCCCUUUUGACUCAAGAGGCUGAAGGUAAAUCCAGAGGCCCUGCGCAAUCCAGGAAAGCUGGUCUUUGCAGCAGCUCUCCUUGAGUCAAGAAGCUCAAACUUGGAACGCUCCCUGUGGGCAGAGGAAUGGUGUGCCAUGACCAGCCAAGCCUGGGUCAGGGGAUGACGUCUGCAGCCAGCGGGCAGGCCUUGCUGCGUGGGUGCAAGUGCCAAGUGAGCGGCUUCACGAGGACUGAGAGCUGUCCAGGCGUGUUGCUGCCAGAAGAGAGGACAAUUACACGCACAUAUGGGAACCUCCCCUGAGGAGAAUUAGGUAUACAUUUGAGAGUUUUUGUUUUUCAAGAUGGACUUAAAAAAAAAAAGACAUUUCUCUGUCUCCUGAAUGGUGAUAAUGACCCUGUUACUGAUUUCCCAGCCAGGCUCAAAUAGAAUUGCAAAGGACAUUGCAAAAAAGUUUGUGUUCUUUAAGUUCUAAAACAUUUAAAAUAAUAUAUGAAAUGUGUAUGUUAUGGUGCAUAAGAGAUGGCAUCUUUUCAUUCAUGACAUUCUUUUCCCCACAGAAUUCCAAAGCUGUGGAAUUCUGUGCUUUCCUCUAACCACCCUUUCACCCCUCCUUCCGACCUAUUUUAUUUCUUCACCAAAGCAAUCAAAUGCCGAGGAAAUUAAUAGCACACAUAAUGCCUCUCCUUCAAGAGCCAGAAUGGAAAGGGCAAUGUGGGGCUAGACUUUCUUUAGUAUGUACACUUUCAUAAUUUAAACAUUUAACUUCGGUAAAUAGG